UUUCAAUCGCGCCACUAGCGCAGCAGAGUAGAUGGGGACGUGUCCCUAUUUACAAACCUGCAGCAAAACGCGGACUGGCCAUCGUUGACUGAAUGGACUGGAUUUGGUUGGUCCCGGCAAUCAAGACCCAACAAGAUUUUUACCUCCUAUGUGGUGCUUGACAAAUGUCCAUAAAGCAAAAGGGAAUAGCUCCACUCUUUGUCACUCAAAGCUGCUUUACACUACAAUUUUUGCCAUUCACUCACAUUUAUAUAGCCCAUUUACCUGUUCACAUGCCAAGGACUAGUGGUGCUUGGUAAAAUAAAAUGGCAUUAAAAAAAUCCUUGUAUAAAAUGGACAAAUCAUUUAAAGGUUUUGGGUUUCAAGUUGCAGACUGGUGUUUCAUUCCAUAACAUUUGGUAUGGUGACGUGCUGUAGGGUGUUUAUUUAAAAAUAAUCUUACUUAUGUUUUGUUUUGAAGCAUUUGUUACAGUGUGCUGCGGCUUUGGUUUCCAGUGUCACAAUGCAUUAUGGUUAAAACAUUUACGCCACUUGACUAAAAUGCUAUGAGGGAGACACUCACAUCUGGUACCUCUAAAACAAACUGCCAUGGCCUCGGGUUGGUGACUGUGGCAUUUCAGUUUGUAAUUUUUGUGAGAUUGUU